CUACGGGUGGCAGCAGUGAGGAAUAUUGGACAAUGGGGGAAACCCUGAUCCAGCAAUGCCGCGUGAAUGAAGAAGGCCUUAGGGUUAUAAAGUUCUUUCACCCGUGAAGAUGAUGACGGUAACGGGAGAAGAAGCCCCGGCUAACUCUGUGCCAGCAGCCGCGGUAAGACAGAGGGGGCUAGCGUUGUUCGGAAUAACUGGGCGUAAAGGGUGCGUAGGCGGUUGUUUAAGUAAAGUGUUAAAGCCCUGGGCUCAACCCAGGAAUCGCAUUUUAAACUGGACAGCUAGAGUGUGGUAGAGGAAAGUGGAAUUUCUAGUGUAGAGGUGGAAUUCGUAGAUAUUAGAAGGAACACCAGAGGCGAAGGCGGCUUUCUGGACCACAACUGACGCUGAGGCACGAAAGCGUGGGGAGCAAACAGGAUUAGAUACCCCUGUAGUC
rnacentral:rRNA from 1 species